rnacentral:rRNA from 1 species
UACGUAGGGGGCAAGCGUUGUCCGGAAUCAUUGGGCGUAAAGAGCGUGUAGGCGGCCCGGUAAGUCCGCUGUAAAAGUCAAAGGCUCAACCUUUGAAUGUCAGUGGAUACUGCCGGGCUAGAGUCCGGAAGAGGCGAGUGGAAUUCCUGGUGUAGCGGUGGAAUGCGCAGAUAUCAGGAGGAACACCGGUGGCGAAGGCGGGUCUCUGGGCAGUAACUGACGCUGAGGAGCGAAAGCGUGGGGAGCGAACAGG